rnacentral:lncRNA from 1 species
GAGGAUCUCUGUGUUCAAGGUUAGCCUGGUCUACAAAGAAGCUACACAGAGAAGCCCUGUCUUGGAAAAACAAAAGAAAGCAAACAACCCCCCCCCCCAGAAAAAACCUAACCCUAAAGGUUAAAUCUAAUCUGGUUUAAAUACUCAGUGACACAUGUAACAGAAUCUAGGUUAGAUUAGUAACUCAGUUUCUAAAUUCAAUAGCUCAGUAACUGUCGAAAACUGUUUUCUCUGCCUUUUCAUUUUGUCUUCCUCACAGACCUAAAACAGUGGCUGGUUUUGCAGACAUCUUUGCAGGUAACCUCUUCAAUCAGAAAAGGGUGUGUCUUUACCUGCCGUUUCUCAGUCCACACUCCCUUUCUCAGGUAUGAACCAGGUAAGUCGGCUGGAUCCUAUCCUACUGAAACCCCAAAAGAUAGGUUCUACACAUGUGGGUGCUAGGAUUUGAACCCUUUCUUCUGAAAGGACACUGAGCACUCUGAAGCACUGAGCCCUCUCCUCUCUCCAGCAUUUAUGAGGUUCACUGUGUCCCAGCCUCUGUGCUCAGUGCUUUACACAUAUACUGAAUUUCCAGUCACUCCUUGAUCUGCUGCUUUACUGUCCAUUCUGCUAAUGAGGACACGGCAGCAAUGGAAAAUACAUGGCUGUGACCAGGGACACUCAGCUGGUUAGUCUAGAACCUGCUAGAAAUUUAGUCAGGUGAUUCAAACAUGUUGAUCUUGUGGCCUUCCUAGCCUGCCUAGGCUUUCUUCAUAGUAUCUAUCUGUCUGUCUGUGUGUCUGUGUGUCUGUCUGUCUAUCUAAUCAGAUAUAGAAACAUGUAUCUGAGACUGUGUGUGUGUGUGUGUGUGUGUGUGUGUGUGUGUGUGUGUGGUGUGUGUAUUACAAGCCUUGCUAUAUGUCUUCUGUUACUGGCAGCUGAAUACAACACUUAACUGGAA